UCUCCGGUCCACUCAUUUACCUUCCCUUCUCUUCUCUUCAUAUUCAUAUUUCUCUCUGAGUCCGAUCCAACCGUCUAUUACUUCGGAACAUCCUCUUGUUUUUCUAAAUCAGAUUUGAUCCAAAACCAAAACUCAAAGCCCCCCUUUUUAUAUCUUUUCUUCUCUGUGAUUCUCAUCUUCUCCCCAGACAAACUCUUCCCCUUCUUCUGUUGUGUUUGUCUCAUCCUUUUUCUUAAUGGCUAUGGAAAUCCCUCGAUCACAAUUCACUACCACAGUACCCAGAGAUGAUAUUUAUAGAGCAAUUAGAGCUUUAAAUGAAGUAACAGGUUCAAACAAAUCAAGUAUUUCAAACUACGUAGAAUCAACAUAUGGGGAUCUACCAGCAGAACAUACGAAGCAACUAACUCAGGAUUAUGUCUGCCAGAACUAAGCUCAUAUACUAUGCACCGGGAACUAAUUAGAAAAGAAUUACCCAUCUUCGAUCGAAACUUAAUGCAAACCACGACCAAUUAAUUUACAUGAUUAGCCAAAAAUUAGUAGGAAGAAAACCCCUGAUGUUUACCAAGAUUUUUCUCUCUUCCUUCCUCUGUAAUUAGUUGGUGAUUUAUCAUUUUAAAUUUUCGUCCAAUUGACCUGAUAUUAUU